UAGAUUCUCUAGCAGCAUUUUGAAAGGGAUACGUACUGAUCAGAUACGCAACAGAGUUAAAAGUUUUCAUCAAAUAUGCUGAAAUAUCUUACCUUGCACUUUGUUCAAAAUCUGUACUUUCUCUCCAAUAACUCCAAAUUUUUUUAGUAUGGUUUGUUAUUUAUACAUAGGCUACACUGCAUAAUGUGAUGGUCUAGUCAUCUGGCUACAUAGUUAUAUGUAUUUUAAGAUUUAUUUAUUUGAAAGAAUGACAGAGAGGGAGAGAGAGAGAGAGAUCUUCCAUCUGCUGAUUCACUGCCCAAAUGGGUUGAGCCAGACCAAACCUGGGAGCCAGGAACCUCAUUCAGGUCUCACACAUGGUACCUGGGCCCCAGUACUUGUGCCGUCUUCUGCUUUCCUGGGCACAUCAGCAAGGAGCUGGAUCAGAAUCAGAACAAGGAUUCAAACCAGUGCUCCAGUGUGGGAUGUUGAUGUUGCAAGCAGAAGCAUACCUGGCUAUAUCCCCCUCCCAUCUCCUAGUUAUUUAUCUUUUGGAAUAUAGAGCAAGCUUCUCCUUCUUCUGUGUCCUACAACCUUUAACUGGCCCUCUAUCCAUGAUACGGGCACCUAGAGAAAGCAGAAGAGCCUCAUGAAAGGGAUUUGAGCUCCGAAGCACUUGGGUACAAAUCCUGCCUUGACUACAUACUGUGUGAUCUCGGCCAACUUUUGUCUCUGAAUCACAAUUCCCUCUGUUAUAAAACUGGGUUAACUGUAACUUCUUGAUAUGCUUGCCAUGUGAUUAAAUGAGACAAAGUAGGUAGGGGUGGUAGCAUAAUACUAAACCACUUUAGUAAAUAUUGGACUCCUUUUUCAUUCCCCAUAUUUUCCCCUCCCGACUACUCAAGUUUGUGACUGUUUGCCUGUGGUUGAAGGAAGGAAGGCGUUUUAUAAAACUCAGGUGCUUUUCUAGAAACAGCACAUGUGCUGUGCAGUUGGAAAGAAGCUGUAGGCUGCUCCUUGCAGAAUCAUGAUGAAGACGUGCUUUUAUAUCAUAGACUUGGGUUUUAGGAAAUUUCAUCUCAAUCUUUGUCACAUAGAAACCAUUUCUGGGUUUGCUUUAGGUGCUAUUUGUUUUGGUUCCUGUAUAAGAUCCAUGUGUUAUUUCUCUUUUGAAACUAGUACCAAGGGGGCCAGCACUGUGGCAUAGUGAGUAAUGCUACCACCUGCAGUGCUGGCAUCCCAUAUGGGCACCUGUUCAAGUCCUGGCUGCUCUGCUUCUGAUCCAGCUCUCUGCUAUGGCCUGGGAAAGUAGUGGAAGAUGGCCCAAGUCCUUGGGCCCCUGCAGCCACGUGGGAGAUCUGGAAGAAGCUCCAGGCUCCUGGCUUCAGAUCAGCCCAGCUCCUGUCAUUGUGGCCACUUCGAGAGUGAACCAGCAGAUGGAAAGCACCUCUCUCUCUCUCUCUCUCUGCUUCUGUAACUCUGCCUUUCAAAUAAAUACAUUUUAAAAAAUUACCUAAGACUAUAUAAUAUUUAAAAAUAAUACAGAUUAUUUAAAUAUGAUAAUUAUUUUAAUAUGGGUGUGUGAAACUCAUUUCAGGACAUAUGUAUUUAAGUUUGUCCUUAAAAUAAGUCAAAGUGAUUUUGGACUUUAAGGCCUAGAGCCAAAUGAUUUCAUGGGAAGUUGCUGUAAUCCCAAUCCCCAAUUCAAGAGAGUUCAUUUGUUUUUUUAUUUGAAAAGCAGAGUAGAGAGAGAGAGAGAGAGAGGAGGAGAGACACAGAGAGAUCUUCAGUUUGCUGGUUCACACCCCAGGAGGCCAGAUGCACUUGGGCUAUCUUCUGCUUUCCCAGGUGCAUUAGCAGGCAGCUGGAUCAGAAGAGGGGCAGCUGGGACUCAAUCUAGUGAUCUUAUGGGCUGCCAGCCUCACGGGCAGUGGCUUAACCCACUGUAUCACCAUGUGAGUUUUGUUCUUUCCCCACAUAGAUUAUUUUCUUCAUUGGUAUUGUGUUUCAUUGAGUUGCAAAACUUGGAACAGAAGUCCAUUUAGAAGUACUUGCUGUGUAGCUGAAGUUCAAGGUUUUGCAAAGGGCAUAUGAGAGGAAAGGAGUUUGGCUGUUAAACUAGCCUCUUUGUAAAAAUUUUUAGAAAAUGAGUCUUCCGUGUCAGAAAUUUGGCAUGGUUAGCAGUUUUCAUUAAACCUGCUUCUUACAGAUAGUCUUGUUCUAUGUGUGGGUGUAUGGAAGAGGAAGUGGUUUUGCAUUGGGUUUACCAGCCCUGCACAACUUUCUGCUGACAACUGGCUGUCAACUCCAGGGAGGUUGUCUUUCUCUGCAAACAUCUCUAAGUUCAUGAGUCUCUAAAAAAGGGAUUUUUCUUUAGGCAUCACUGAUAGCAUACUUUGUGUGCAAAUAUUUUGAAAGGUGCAAAGCCUUUGCAUUUAAGGUAGAUUUCAAUUUGUAGGAACAAGUCUUUUAGAGUUAACUACAGUGACUCAGGUAGAUAACCAACUGGAAUGAAAUAAUUUUUAUUUAAAAGCAACAUGGGCAUACAACCCCUAGUGAGAAAUAACUACAAUAUUAUGGGAAUAAGUUUCUUUUGGGGCUUGGGAACCAACUUUUGGGAAUUUGAAAAAUGCAUAAUGAAAUCAUUACUGAAAUAGGCCAGCUUUUUGAAAAGUAAACAGUUGUAUAUGAAAACCUAGUGUAUUAUAUCAGUUGCAGAGUUUAUUAUUAUUAUAAUUUACUUAUAACACAGCCAGCCUGGAUUAGCCCAUUCUUUCUUGCUUUGUUCUUUGCUAAACACAGCAACCUUGAACAAAUAGAUGAGUCCUGUGGUGUGGGGAACCUCCUGUCCCCGGUUGUCUCCCAUAAUGGCCUAGAGUCCUUUGAACUUAAAGGCUAAUUGCUGAUUAAGGGUUCCCUGUUAAUGAAACUGUUUCCUAAGUUAUACUUAAGAUUUACCCUAAGACAUGCUAUGUCCUAAAGUAUACCCUAAGAUAUACAAAGUACCCAGGGAAAGGAAGUGACCCAUAAAUACACUAAUGAGCAGAAGAACAUUGCAACAAUCAAUCAGCCCAUCCAACUGCCAAUUAUUGGGUAAUUACUGAAAAUAUACCAUCUCCCAAAUAUUGCUCUUGGCACUGGGAGUACAAAGAUGAACAAGAGGCAGACUUUCAUAAAGCUUGAUGUUUACUGGGGUCUAAUAAUAGUCAUAUAAAUUAGGUGAACUAGAAAGAUUGAAAUGGAUGGAGUGUAUUCAAGGAGCUCAAGAGGGGUGAAGGAAGGUCCUAGGAUUUUCUUUUUCUAUAAAGAUUUUAUCAUGUAGGCAGAGGGAAGGGGCCGAGUACUUCUUGGUUGCUGCUUUCCUCAUAGUAGCCAGGAUAGUGCUCAGAUGUGUUUGCUUCCUAUUUUCAUGAAUGUGUACCCAUCUCUUUUUUGAAGUUGACAGCUCUCGCUCAACGUGUCUUUGGAAACCUUGAGUAGCUCUACGUGGUGCACUUAGGUGGGGGUGGAGCCACAUACUUAGAAUUCGGGGUACUUGCUGAGACACUCAUGGUGAUGGCUGUCUCUGGACUUGCUCAUGGUCACAAUUGCCCUGUGGCUCUUGUUGAGGCCCAUGGUGGUAGAAUAGCACAGAGCCGUGGCUGCCGCCCUUCAGUGGCUGCUGUGGUUCAAGUUCUGGGAUAUGUUUUUGUCCUUGGCCAUUAGCCACACCUUGUGCCUGUACAAGAGUCUCCAGAGGGACCCUUCUUGCGAGCUGAAAUGUGCUGGCUCUGGUGACUUGAGGACAGGAUUUUCUAGGCCCUCCUCUGUGUGAAAAUCAGCAUUGUCCUGUCUCACAAGACCUGUUUGGAAAGGAUGCCUGAGAAGUAAGGGUGUCAGAGAGAAACAACUGUCUCUGACUUUGGCAGGGGCUUUUUCUCCAAGUCAAUCAAGCUACAGAAAUAGGUGAGGCAUGGGAGGAACAUUUUAUAUAUGUGACCCCUGUGUCCUAAUUUUCUCCUUUGGCAUGCAAAAUUUUCCUCAGAAGGUGAGCUGCGAGCUUGCUUAUUUUAAAAACUGCAACCUGUGAGGAGAGGGUGUUCUUUGACAACAUUACAUCACAGAAGCCUCUAGGUGUUGAGUCAUCAUUAUUUUUAGGCAGCUCCAUGCUUUUUUUGGUUGGUCUAAGAAUAGCCCCUGGGUCUGGACUCUACAGAAAGUCACCUCGGUAAAGAUCCUGUCACCACUCAGCAUUCGGAACGCAAUGCCUUCUUAAAUUCCAGGUUCAAGGUACACAUUUUGGAAUUUUAGCUCCAAACAUUCUGCCUUUUUAGAUUUUUUUUUUUUUAGUGUCAACAUGAUGAUUGUCAAUAGCUGUCACUAAAGGUGUUCAAUCCUUUGUCAAAUGUACUUAUUGCUGGAAACAAGAAGAGCAAUCAUGAUUAGUACAAUAACCAUGCAGAAAGCCCUCCCAUACAAGGCCUCACUAUCUGGUUUGUGAAUACCUUAUCAAUGAUUUUAUCCAAUUUUUAAACAUGUCAAGACACAGAUCUAUGCCUUGUGUCUUAUGGAUUAAGUGCCUCCAGAUGACUCAUGUUAGGACAUAGGUUUGGGGUGAUAUUAUUGGAAUCUAUGCAAAAUCACCCAAAAGCAGCCAAACCAACCAAAUGCAAUUGUAGCCCAUAGAACUAAAUCAACAUACAUGAAUCAUACUGGAACUUGAUGGUAGAGUGGAAUUUGGUGGGGAAGUGUUGGAGGAUGGUUUUCCCAUUGCCAGUUCAGAGCAUCCACUUAUUUUAUGUGCCACUUCUAAGCUCAUAGGAGGACAAAUGGUUUAUGAAUAUAGCCUCAUGCUUUUCUAACUAAAGCAUAAAUGACAGCAGCUGACUGGAGUCAAAUUAGGCAGUUUACUAUUACAUUACAGUGUACUUUUGUGUCUUGAGGUGACAGAAGAGUAGCACAUGAUCUGUGUUGGCAACUGAAAGGACUGAUGCAUGCUGGGAAGGUACUCCCAGGUACUCAAAAGAGAAGAGCUUCCAUUUUGAGCUGCUGGCACUCUAGAACAGUUGGUUCUGCUUUAAAUUUCUUCUUUUUUUGUACAAGAGCAGACACAGAAAGAGGGAAAAGGAGAGGGUGAGGGAGGAGAGAGAGAUGGAAGGUAGGAGUUGGGCAGGGACCCAACUUCUUGAGCCACCACCUGCCACCUCCUAGGGUUUUACACUGGCAGUGAGGUAGAAUUAGGAGCCAGAAUCCGGAAUCAAACCCAGGGACUCUGAUGUGGGAUGCAGGCAUAUUAAUCAGUUUUAACUGCUACCCAGAUGCCCACCCCUGGUUCUGCUUUUAUCAUCUAAGAGCUCAUACCUCAUCUCCACAUGGGUCAUUCUCUCUUUAACCAGGGAAGUGGGGUAGCAUAGUGUGAUUACGAGAGAGGUCUCUAGCAUGUUUCAGUCCAAAAUCAAAUUCUGUAUAUAAGUUGUGUUAAUUGUGACUGGCAAUUUAAGCUGGUCCAGUUACUUUAGAAAAGAUUAACAUUUACAUUAGAAAGAGAAGGCAGCUUAUUUAGUCUUCUGAACCUGUUUCUAAUCUGUAAAACAGCAUCACAAAAGAGCAUUUAUCUCAUAGUUUGCUGUGAGAUAUAACUCAAGUGAACUAAACCAUGGCACCUUGAUCAUGGCAAUUACAUAUGUUGGCUAGCAAUGGUAAUAAUUUCUGCAUCUUGCAUCAUUUAAAACUCGCAGGACUCCUGUGCUUUCCUUGCGUAUGGUUUUUGCUUAACUCACCACAGAACAAUUACCUGGUCAGCUCCCAUUGACUAUUCCUACUAUCCUCUGUGGACUUUCUAAAGCAAGUUGGGGGUAAGAGGCAGAGGCACCAGGUGGCUAACAAAGAGCCAGCCCAGAGGAAGGUGAGCUCCUUUUGCUAUCUCCCCUGCAUCCAGUGUCUAGAACAGCAACACGUUUCCUUACUGCACGAAUAAAAGGUCCAUCCUGCUUCUUCCUUCCCCUGAGGCUGAGUAGAAAGCUUCGUUUUUCCAUUAUGUUGAAGGUUCAGCUAAACAGCCAUUUGGCAGUCCCCAUUAUGUUCUUCCCUGUGAUCUGUAUUGGACUUACACUGUAGUUGGAACAAGAGCCUUAAAAGUUUUCUGAAAAGACAAGUCUGUUUUGCCUUCCUGUUUUACUUUUCUCUUUUCCGGAGAAAACUGGGUUGGUUGACCAAGCCUUCUUUGUGAGUAAUUAAAGUCAUUUCAAAUUUUAAUUUCAGGAAACAAAAGUGGACUGAAUACAAGAUAGUCUUCUCUGCUGGUAUUUCAUCUCUGAGAGUGGGGAAUUUGAGUAUGUGUUAAUUGUGACUGGCAAUUUAAGCAGGUCCAAUUACUUUAGAAAAGAUUAACAUUUACAUUAGAAAGAGAAGGUAAAUGAGAACAGAGCCUUUUAAAAAUCUGAAUGUGAUUUUUUUCCCAUAUCAUUAAGAGUUUUACUUAGAAGAGUCUUCAAUUAAUCCAAGCACAUUUUUCUGAAGAAAACAGUAUGGGGAAUAUCACAGCAAAAGAGCCAAAUGAAAGGUGACAUUUCUCUGGAAGAGAAACAUUAUUAUAAAGAGGAUUUGGAUUUACAUGGGUGGCUUUAUUACACUUAAUGUUUCAUAUGAUUGCAGAACUGACUUUUUAAAGUCAUUCUUUAGAGGACUCUAUGUAGUCAGUGCAGACAGAGUGAUAGCUAAUGACAUGAAUGGUAAGCAUUCAAAAUGUCUUUUGUGCAGGUGGUCAUUUGUUUCAAACUAAUUAUUACCAGCUCUAAGUGUGAGGAUUUACAUGCUGAUCUAUAUAGGAAUGUCAUCAUUAAUAAAUAAUGUUGUGCAACGACAUAUUUAAUUGCUGGAAACUGUUGCCAGGAAUAGAAUAGAAAUAAUAUGGGAGGUGUAGAAGCUCUCCUGGCUCGAUCUAAUUCAGAGUUUCUCCAGCCUCAGUGUCACAUUUUGGGCUGGAAAUUCUUUUUUUUUUUUUUUUAAGAUUUAUUUAUUUAUUUGAAAGGCAAGGUUACAGAGAGAGACAGAAGGACAAGAAGAGAAAUAGAGAGACAGACUUUCCAUCUGCUGGUUUACUCACCAAAUGACUGCUGCAAUGGUCAGGGCUGGACAAGGCUGAAGCCAGAAGCCUGGAACUAUAUCCAGGUCUUUCACAUGAGUGGCAGGGACCUAAGCACUUGGGCCAUUUUCUGCUGCUUUUCCAGGAGCAUUAGCAGACAACUGUAUGGAAAGUGCAGCAGGUGGGUCUCAAACUGGUGCCCAUAAGGGGUGCUGAUGUCUUUGCAGCUUAAUCCACUGUGUCACUGUUAUAUGUUAAUGUUAGCCAUCACAAAACACACCGAACACCGGAGGAAGGGAAAGGGUUUAUUGGGGAACACCCAACAGGCCGGAGUGAAGGGGCGGCAAAGAGAAAGAGAGAGAAAGUAUAAGAGAGAGAGACAGAGGAGCUAGUGAGGAGAGAAGAGAGAGCAGAGAGCAGGAGAGGAGAGCCAAGAGAGCAUGUGUUCAGGAACAGGCCCUUUUAAAACUUUGCCUCAGGGCGGGCAGGGAAGCAGGAGCAUCGAAUCCCGUUAGGAUGCGGGCGGAGCCUGGUCAGGUAGCUGGGCCAUGCGGCCACCUGGCUAAAACUGCGCCAGUUUCCUAACAGUCACUGUGUCACAAUGUUAUGGGAAAGAUGGUGGUGAAGCUAUUAUUGUUACUUUGGUUCUUUGUCUCACAUGGAAGAAGAAUUUCCAAGCAGACCACAAAGAGAUUUAAACGUAUUUAUUAGAAUCAAGGACCUCCAACCAAAGCGGCAUGGAGGGAGGCUUCUAAGAGGAAAACCCAAAGGGGACUGACUGUUGGCAGUUGGCCUUUAAAUACAAUUUUGAAGGAAAAAAAAAAUAAAACUUGAUGAUUAGAUUGGCAUUCAGUUACCAGGCUGGGGCAAAAAACCAUCAAAAGACCUCAUUUACAAUUCUCCAAUCCUGUCUGGCCUGUUAAGGGUGGGGUAUAUAACUCCUCCUCUGGAGGAGUCCCUUGCUAUUCUCAUGGUAAAUUUGGAGAUUCCAAGGAAGGAGGGCAGCCUGUCUUUCUUGCUAAAGAUAAAGUUUUGGGGAAGGAAGCAAGUAUUUUACACCCCAAAUUCCACUAGGAUCCCCUGACUAUCUAUUAACCCAUCUGACUCCUCACAACAACACCAGCCAAACGGACUGAAAAUUCUUGGUGUGGAUGCUCUGUGCAUCACAGAUGUUUAGUAGCAUCCGUGGCCUCUACCCAUCAGAUACUGGUAGUGCCACUCCAUUCCCAGUAAUAAUAUGAAAAAUAUCCCCAUACAUUGCCAGUUGCUACCUCUCCCAACUCCCCUGGGGGAAAAUGCAGCAGGCAAAAUUGCCCUGGUUGAGAAGAAUUACUGACCUGGCUGACAGUUCUGAACCAUGAGUUAGAGGAGUUGCCUGGGUAUUUCUUAGUAGUAACCUACUCUACAAACUCAUCUUACUGGAUAAUAAUCCUUUGGGUAGGUCUCUGGAAGCAGGACUCACACAUACACAGAAGGUUAUACUCCAACUGUUUCCAUCUCAUCCAAGUUCUUCUUUUCUCCGUUCCAAAUGAGGAGGCUGCAAUUCUUCAAAUCCUCUCUUGUCGGCCUCUUGGGCACAGCCUCUGCUUGGUGACCUGGAGGCUCCUGGGAGGCAGGCCUCUGCCUGGUGCUUCCUCAUUUCCAGAACCUGUCUGUACACCUCCCAGGAGUGCUUCUCUGUGGAGAAACCGCAGGAGACUGCAGGAUGCAUGCUCUUGAGCUGACUUCUCUGCUGUUGCCUGCUCCCCUGUUGCCAUCACUGCACUUAGGCCCAAGCCCCCAGACAUGGUGGGAGUCGGGCCACUGAAAAGUUUCAUUAUGGGAGAAUUUGUUCACUGCCUUUUCAAUGGACCACAUACCUAUAUGAUCAGGCUUCAUAUUUUAAUACUUUUGGUGACAGUGGGCAUCCCAGGGAUAAUAAGUAUCUUUGUCAGGUAUGUAAUACAAAUGGGACCCACAGAAAGCUAACACUAGGAUAAUUGCUGAUUGGCACAUUGGUCACUUGGAGGAAACUUCAAAGUACCAAAGAUGAACUAACCAUCAUAUGAGGAUCACACGAAAGGCUUGUCAGUUUGCAAUAGGUAGCCUGUAUUGUGAGUGCCUUUUUACAGUUCUACCAGUGAUAUGUUGAAGUGGGUUCUUUCCAGAUAGCUGAUGUUGAGUAGCAUUUAACAGCACGGCUGGAUGUUGGCCAUGAAGGUGUCUACAUCAUGGAAAUGAGCAAAUUUUCAUGAAUCAGAUUUCUUGACAUAGAGUAUUAGUUUUCUGUUGUAAAUUGCUACAAACUUAUGACCUUAGAAUACUAGAAGUCAGAAGUGCUGUGUCCCUUCUGGAGGCUUUUCCAUCCCCUAGUGGUUGCUUCCUCCAAAUUCAAAGCCAGUCCAGCAGAGUUUCCAAUCUCUUUCUCUGACUGCGUCUUUCAUCAUCACAACUCCUUCUCUGACUCCAACACUCCCCUGUACCACCUCCCUUUAAUAAGUAGCCUUGUGAGUGCAUUGGUUCCCCCUGGGUAAUCUAGACUAAUCCUCUCAUGGUGAAGUACUGAAUGUAAUCACACCUACAAUGCUCCAUUUCCCAGGGAAGGUAGCAUACUCACAGGUCUUGAGGAGAGGCGAUUGCAGUGAUCUGCAUACCGCACCUUGGAGCUGACAACCAGCAUACCACUGAUUACACUGUGCCGAAUUUCUCUGGAUUUGAAAGUAGGGUGCCAAUCUUAGGACCAUACAUGGACAAAUAUCUUUUUUUUUGAGAUUUAUGUAUUAUUUAUUUGAAAGUCAGAGUUACACAGAAAGAGGAGAGGCAGAGAGAGAUUGAGAGAGAGAGAGAGAGAGAGAGGUAUUCCAUCUGAUGGUUCACUCCCCAUUUGGCCUCAACAGCCGGAGCUGUGCACAUCCGAAGCCAAGAGCCAGGAGCUUCUUCCAGGUCUCCCAUGCGGGUGCAGGGGCCCAAGGACUUGGGCCAUCUUCCACUGCUUUCCCAGGCCAUAGCAGAGAGCUGGAUCAGAAAUAGAGCAACCAGGUCUCGAACCGGUGCUCAUUAAAUACCUUUCUUCUUCCAUAGUUUACCUCCUGUCUCAUCAUUUUCAGCACUGCAAAAACAAACACUAGGAUCUGAUGUCUCUAUUACAAUUGCUAACCUAAUUAGUUUCAACAAACAGAGGUAAAAAUGUUGCCCAGAGUCAUAUAGAAUAUGCUCCUCUUCAUUUAGGGCUUUCAUUAGUGAUCUAAGGUGGGGUUCGUCCCCCAAGUAAAAUAGUAAGUAUACUUAAAAUUUUAGGAGUUUUUUUCCCCAAAAAUAUUACAGAAAGCAUUUCUGUUUUCAUGUGACAGUUAAUGAACUUGACUGUCAAGAGACCUGUAUGAUGUAUAUAUCCCACUUUUUCAUGAAAUUAGAUGUGAAACCUCAAAACCAGAUGAGUUCCUCAGUACAUCAUUUAUUAUCACAAUAGAACUUUGGAAUUGCUAAUAUCUUCAGUAUACAAAAUGUGCCUAGUUAUGCUGCCGAUUGAGACUUAGCAAACAUGUUAGUCAAGUUUGCUGCCAACUGGUUAUUUUCAUGUUUCUUGCUUGGAAAUUGGUUGUUUUUAGUGACACCCACAAAAUAAAUAGCAUCCUAUGAUAAACCUAAAACUUAUGCAAAGUAAUUUUGAUGGUAAAUUAAGUCUUCAGAGUUGAUAAAAGUUCAGUUAAAGUUUGUAAGCAGAGUUUAUAAGUUAUUCUAAAAAACAGCACAUAAUUUAGUAAUAGGAAAACAGGAUAGCAGAGCAAUUGAGAAAAUAUACUGUAAGUUGCCUAUCCCAGUUAUAUUUUUAUGUUCACUUUAUUUUGAACUUAAUUGCCAUGACUUUUAUAUGUAAAUGUACAGUGUGGUUUAUAAUGCUAAAUCAGUAAAUAUCAGGGACUUUCCCCUAUUUUAAUUUCAAAUGAAAUAAAAUUAUUCUGAUACUGUACCAAGCCCAUUUUCAAUUGUCAUACUGCAUAAAUUCUUGUACCCUAGAACAUAGAUCUUUCCUCUAACUUAAAAUUUGAUUUACUGUUGUGUUAAAAUUGAAAGUCAGUUAAUAAUGCACUAUUUUUGUCUCGUGAGGAUUUUAAUGUUUGUACUUAGAAAUUUAGGAGACAUGUUUGUAAAAAUGAAAAAAGAUAAAAAAAGAAGAAAUUUAGGAGACGGUUUUAACAAUGUCACAUGAGUCCCUUGUCCUAGGAACAAAUACUUCUGAGUUGUUCUAACACUUGAGAGCACCAGGAAGGCAUUCCAGUCACCUCCAGCACUCACUCUUGCUGACUGCUAACCAGGACAUGACGCUGACUUGCUUAGAUUCCUUUUCUCUGUGCUGAUUUAUUGAGGAAUGACAUUUAUUACAUAAUUACUUUGGCAUCAGCUUAUUUUUAUCUCUAGGGGUUUUUAUUGGUAUUUAAAAGCCAGUUGAUGUUUUAAAAAAAAUAGAGAUCUUCUGUGUCACAUAGAUGUCAAUCAGGGAGAUAAAAAUGUGCGUGUGUGCAUCUAAGCACAUGCAAUGCUGGGAAGGUAAUCAAUGAGAAGAAAAUCGCUUAGCUGUUGCUUGAACUUUUCAGAUGAAAGUUCUUCCAGGAGCACCUCCUGCUUCCUUAUUCUGCUUCUGCCUUUGUUCGUUAAUUAUUUAUACCAGCCAUAUUCUUCUCUGCCGGGGAUCACUUUCCUGAUUGAUGGCAUCUGGGGCCUUCCACAUGAGAGUAUUUUAAAGGCUGUAUCAGGGAAGAUCACUUCUUUCUUUUUCCUCCUCCCUCAAUUUUUAAUAACCCUUGAAAUCUACAGCUAAUAGCUUCCUUUAGCUCCCUUGUCUGUUGUUUCCUAGUCCAUUUUCUUGGCCUAAGUGUGCUGACAAUUUGCUAUUGCAAUUCCCUUUGAAGAAAUAAAUCUUUUAUUUCUCAGUGAGAAUGAAUAAAUAUGGAGUCACACCUAUUACAUAAUGGAGGGUUGCACUUCCAGACUCCCCACAAGAAGACAAGUUUUUAACCAAAUUGUGGCAACUAGAAAGAUUGAAUGAAACUAUAUAUGUGAGUGCAGUUUCAUGCAUGCAUACCCCAAAACACUCUUUAUUCUCCCCCCUAAGCAAUUCCAUAUAAGCCUUUAAAUUCCUACCUGGGCACAUACAAUUCAAGUUUUCUAUUUCUGAUCUAUACAACCUCUCUGAGCUGGGUUGGUGACAUCUCUCAUCUUGAUGUCUCAUGGUGGAGAAACUCGUCAUGUUCAAAACUAAACUCUUGGUCUCCCCCUACCUAGUUCUCCUUCCAGUAUCCCCUGCAUUCCUGAACCAAACCACCCCACACCCAGUUCUUCAAACCAGGGACUCACCUUGUCCCUCACCCACACCGUUCAUUAACUAAUCUCACUGAUGCUACCUCCCAAACAUCUCUCCUGUUUGUUCACUUUUAGCCCUAGUUCAAGCUUCAGGAAUCUCUCAUCUGCAUCGUUGCUCUUGCCUCUGUCCUGAUCUCUAUCUGGUCUACUGCUGCUCUUCAACCUGUUUUGCUCUGUAGAUUCAUUGCUUUGAGUUUUGUUUCAUUGAUUUGUUGUUUCAUUUGGUCCAUUGUUUUGGGUUUUGUUUGGGUUUAUGUGUAAAACCCACCAAAGACUUUUCAUUCCUUUUAGGAUAAAGAUCUGUAUUCUCAACCUGGUCCUUAGGACCCACACACCUGGGAGUUUUCCCCUCACAUCCUAGCCCCAGGGCCGUCUGCCUCCAACCACAUUGCCCUUCUCUCUUUCUUUCUGUUUACAAGCAUUGCUAUGUUCCAAGGGCUUUGCAUGUGCUAUUUCCUAUGCUAGAUCCAUCACAUACACUCCCAUCCUAGCCUUCCUGGCCAGCCCUCCCUUGCUCACUUUCAUGGUGCUUUCUUUCCUUCGAAGUGCUUAUCUCAGCAUGCGUGAUCCAUCCAUACAUGUCAUUGUUAACUAAAAUCGUUACAUUAUACCCUAGAGUCCAGGACAGCAGGAAUGUAUCUGCCGUACUGACCAUGAUCCAGCGUUUAGUGCAGUACUCAGCAUCAACAUUUGUUGAGUAAGCGAAUGUGCAAUACCUUUUAUGGGUUCCUCCAGAUCCUGCUUGCGCUGAUGUGGGCAUUGCAUGUGGGUCCCAUCUACAUCUUUAGCCAUUCAAGCUUUAUCCGUUCUCAGUAUUUUUCUUCUUAAAGUUCAUAACCAAGAAAUCUCUGAAGAAUAGUCUCACAAGAACUCUAUGUGGGUUUUUUCAUUGACUGUUACAGCAAAUGUAUGAGGCAAAAGAAGUGAAGUCUCCAGUACUUUGCUGAUAUUCAUACAGAUCUAUAAUAAUCAGGACUUGAACCCCUGUGUUCUAGCUACAAGUCCAGAUGUCUGUGUUGAGCUAAAGGUGCUUCUUUUUUAUUUUUUGACAGGCAGAGUUAGACAGUGAGAGAGAGAGAGAGACAGAGAGAAAGGUCUUCCAUUUUCUGUUGGUUCACCCCCCAAAUGGCUGUUAUGGCCGGCGCACUGCGCUGAUCCGAAGCCAGGAGCCAGGUGUUUCCUCCUGGUCUCCCAUGCAGGUGCAGGGCCAAAGGACCUGGGCCAUCCUCCACUGCACUCCUGGGCCACAGCAGAGAGCUAGACUGGAAGAGGGGCAACCGGGACAGACUCCAGUGCCUCAACUGGGACUAGAACCCAGGGUGCCGGCGCCACAGGAGGAGGAUUAGCCUAGUGAGCCGCAGCGCCGGCCAAGGUUGCUUCUAAUGUGACAAGAUCAGAGUGUAUCCUAAAUACUUAUUUUAAUACUUGCUUUAUUAUUUUUUUUAAAAUGCAUGUAUUUGUUUGACAGAGAGAGAGAGUGUGUUCCCAUCUACUGGUUCACUCCCCAGAUGCCUGCAAUAGCGGGGGCUGAGCCAGGCCAAUGCUAGAAGACAGGGAUUCAAUUUAAGUCUUCCUUGUGAGUGACAGGGACCCAACCCCUUGAAAUGUCAACUUCUUCUACCUAGGGUCUGCAUUAGCAUGAACCUGGAGUCAGAAGUUGGACCUGGGAACUGAACCCUGGUACCUGAUAUUGGAUACAGGUGUCUUAACUGCUAGGGUAAAUGCCUACUCCUGUUAUAAUUCAUCAAUAGUUAGCAUACUGUGCUUUCCUAAAUUAAAUGGGAUACUUUAGAUAAUUCUGGAUCAUCCCAUUUGUCCUACCAUUCACACUGUAUUUUAUCUUUUAAAAUUAUGCAUGCAAUUUUUAUUGUAUUAUACAGUUCAUUGAUUACCUGAUAAUAUCUCUGAGUCUUGAGUCCUCUGCUUUUACCUUCUAAAUAUUUAUGCUUUUAGUUACUUAAAGCUGACACUGAAUAUAUGAAUUUGUCCUCUCGCAUUCUUUAAAAAAAAAGAUUUCAUUUAUUUAUUUGAGAGACAGAGUUACAGUGAGAGGGAGACAGAGGGAAAGGUCCUCCAUCCGUUGUUUCACUCCCCAGGUGGCUGCAAUAACUGGAGCCAUGCCGAUCCGAAGCCAGGAGCCAGGUGCCUCCUCCUGGUCUCCCAUGUGGGCACAAGGGCCUAAGAACCUGGUUCAUUCUCCACUGCUUUCCCAGACCACAGCAGAGAGCUGGAUUGGAAGAGCAGCUGGGACCAGAACCGGCGCCCACAUGGGAUGCUGGCGCCGCAGGCAGAGGACUAACCUACUGCAACAUGGCGCCGACCCCCUCUCUCAUUCAUAACAGUAAAAAUAUGGUAGUGAAUCAGAAGGUUUGUGGAAAAUUAAAUUAAAAGAUGUUUAUUUUAGUAGAAAAAAUUUUGAAAUCCAUGCAUAUGAGGUCUUCAAAAAGUUCAUGAAAAAAUGUAUAUUUUGAAAAACUGGCUGGCGCCGCGGCUCACUAGGCUAAUCCUCCGCCUAGCGGCGCCGGCACACCGGGUUCUAGUCCCGGUCGGGGCACCGGAUUCUGUCCCGGUUGCCCCUCUUCCAGGCUAGCUCUCUGCUGUGGCCAGGGAGUGCAGUGGAGGAUGGCCCAGGUGCUUGGGCCCUGCACCCCAUGGGAGACCAAGAAAAGCACCUGGCUCCUGGCUCCUGCCAUCGGAUCAGCGCGGUGCGCCGGCCGCGGUGGCCAUUGGAGGGUGAACCAACAGCAAAGGAAGACCUUUCUCUCUGUCUCUCUCUCUCUCACUGUCCACUCUGCCUGUCAAAAAAAACAAAAAAACAAAAAAACAAAAAAAAAAACUAUGCAUGAUUUCAAAAUUUUGUUUAUACCAAAAUAAACAUAUUUUAAUUCCAUUUUCCAUGAACUUUUUGAAGUACUUUCACAUAAUAAGAUAUUAUCCACAUGGUGGAAGGAAAUGGAAAGAAAAUAUCACCUGUCAAGAGGUUUCAGUGUAUUUUGAGAAGGAAGCAGAUAGUGGGAUGGUAACUGGUUUAACAGCAUGGAGGGAAUUAUCAGCUAAAAUGAUCAGUUUUCUCAUGAGGGAAGACAUAUUAAAAAGCAAGCCCACAGAAUUUCUGAAAGUCCCGGGCUUGAUGCAGAGACAGGAAUAGGUGAGCUGCACGGCUGAAUAGAGUGAAAGUUUGACCAUCCUCCCCUGAGCCCUGAAUAGUCCCACCUGGACGAUUACUUUCCAGGCAAGAUAUGGGAGAUUCUUCUCUGGAAAUUCUAAGCCAUCGCUCCAGAGACACCCCAGUCAUGUCAUUUAUUCUUUUAGUCAACAAGUAUUUAUUGAGCUCCAAUUAUGCUCAAAUCAUUGUUCAAAGCACUAUGAAUAAGACACAAACUACUGUCAUUCAGAGUUAUCUCCUUGUGGACAGAGGUGAACAGUGAGCUUAAUAAAUAACAAUUCUUAUGGAAUGUUCAGGACCAGAGUGAAACAAUGUGGUUUUUAAAAAGGUAUUUUAAACUUUUUGUAAUCAUUUCAUUUCUCUGAAGUUUUGGUUUACGAUUCAUUUAGUUUUGAAAUAAUACUUAGGCAUCAGUCAAGAUUUCCUAUUCUUAGAAUUUCCGAAUUCAAGUUAUUCAAAAUGUUUAUAAUUCUUUAAGGGACUUAGGAAACCAUCCUGGUAAUAGAGUUGAACCUUCUCUUCCCAUUACAGUGAUUCUUCCUUUUAUAAUAUUCCCUGUACUCCUCCAUGGGAGGAACUCUUGCCAUCUCUGUUCUAUUUAGAGAAGUGAGGUAACUUUCCCAGGUCACGUAGCUAGCACGUGGGAGCAAAAGGACCCACGUAUAGGUUUGCUGACUCAGACUGUGCGUUAUCCUUGUUGGAAGACUGUGUCAGUGUUCAAGUCCCAUCUUUUCCACUGCUGGGUGACCUUGAGCAAGCUCCUACACUGUGCUUCAGUUUCCUCCUAUAGAGAAAAAAUAUGGAAUAACCACGGGUGAGGAUGAAAUGGAUUCAUUUUCAUAGAGUGCAGAGAGCAUGACCUGUUCACACAGUAGGUGUGCAAUAAAGUAAUGCCUCCCACAGCUUUAUUUGUUUUCCUUUGCUCUUUCAGGUUGGUGGGUUUUAUACUGAGGAGUAAUUUUAGGGUGUUCAUUUACCUUUUUGUAUUUGCUUAGCCAGCUGCUCUUCCUCCUCAAGAUUGGCCAUGGAUCACAAGUGUUCAGCUGCCUACUGUUUUCCCACAGUUAAUUGAAGUGGUUGGUACUAAAAGUAGCAAACUUGCUUGCUGUUCCACAGACUUUUUGAUGAAUUAAAAAGAUGACAAUUGCAAGAAAAAAUCCUGUUAGCUUAGAAAUUUAUGUUGUAGGAAUAUGAUAUAAACUUAGAGAAGGUCUUUUAAGCAGAAUGGAAUUAUGGAGUUAUGGAGUCAUUUUAUCUUCAUUUAGAGAGGCUCUGAAGAAUUUUGUUCAUUUAAAAUAGCAAUAAAAUCACAAUAAAAUUUCUGUGGGAAGGAAAUGUGAUACCUCUUUUAAAAAAAAGCAGCCAGGCUCUCUGUGAUCUAAGAGUGAAAGCUCUAUUGAAAAGUGAACCAUUGAACAGUGUUUAAGGUAUAAUAUUUAGUAGAGAAGCAAGUUUUAUGUCAUAUGGAUGGCUGUGCUCCUGCAAAUGGAGAAUUAGGCUUUGAUAUAUGCUCAUUUUCAGGUAAGUAGGCACACAAAUGUAUGACUUGUGAAAUGAAUCAUAUGUAGUCACACAUCAUGCAAUUCAAGCUAUAAUUUUAACUUUUCUGCUUCUGAUUGUAGAAAAAUAAGAGGACAUUAGUGGAGGUGGAAAAAUAAAUCAAAAAUAUUUUUUUCAAAGUUGAUGACUUUCUCUAGAACACUGUUGUCAGAGUGCAGUCCGAUGAUCCCUGGGGGUUGCGGAUAGCCUUUGAGGGCUCUUCUAUGGAGUCAACCACAAUACUAGGAUAUUUUUAUCUUUUUUCACUUACCUUCUUAUGCAAAUGCACAGUGGAGUUUUCUAGUUUGAGAGGCAAAGAUAGAGGGAGAGAGAGAGAGAAAGCAUGACAGCAUGUCCCCAUUCACAGGUUCAUUCCUCCAAUGCAGCAGCCACCCACUCCAGCUAGGUCAGACAGAAACUGAGAAUCAAGAACUCAGCCCAGGUCCCCUAAAUGGGUGGCAGGGACUCAGUCACUUAAACCACUGCCUCCCAGAAUUUACAUUACCAGGAAGCUGGAGUGAGGAGCCAGAGGCAAGUAUUUAUUUUUGAAUUUUAUCAAUUUGAAAGGCAGAGUUACAAAUGGCGGCAAUGACCUCUACUGGGCCAGACCAGAGCCAGGAGCCAGAAGCUUCUUCCAGGGCUCCCAUGUGGGUACAGAAGCCUAAGACUUUGGCAAUCCUCCAUUGCUUUCCCAGGCACGUUAGCAGGGAGCUGGCUAGGAAGUGGAACAGUCGAGACUGGAACUGGUGGCCGUAUGGGAUGCUGCUGCUGCAGGCAAUAGCUUUACCUGCUGCACUACAACACACACCCCUAGAGGCAAGUAUUAAACCCAGACACUCCAACAAAGGACACAGGUGUCCUAACCAACAUCUUAAUUGUAGACCAAAUGCCCACCCCAAGUUUUAGCUUUUAAUAUGGUAAAUAUAUACCGAUAUAAUCCAUAUAAAUAAAAGCUCUGGUGUCCUGGGAAAAUUUUAAAAGCACAGUGGAUCCCUGAGAUGAAAAAGUUUUCAAACCUCUGCUUUAGAAAAAGAUAGCUUACGAUGGACGAGGGGGUCCCCUUGCAGCUAUGGCUGACAUCCCGCCUGGUGAGGACCAGGGCCACGUACAUGACCAGAGAAGUGCAGCUUUCUUCGUCGCUAUCGUCACUUUAUAUGGAUCAUGUAAUUUGUUCACGAGUUUUGUGUCAGUCUCCCUGGCUAGAGCAUAAGCUCCAUGAGGGUAAGGGAUUUGGGACUGUUUUGUUUGUGGCUGUGUCCCCAGUGCUUCCAAUGACCUCUAGUAUGUACCUAUGGAAUGCACUGAUUUAAAUCCAAGACAUUGAGAUGCACAUUAAUUGUUGACUGUUAUCUAUAAUAUCCCUGGCAUCUCUGUAAGGUUCUGUUGUUACCUACAAUCUGUUUGGAUAAGUGAAGUAACUUGCUCCACAUCACCCAGAUGGCCAGCAGCAAAAGGACUCAGUGCACCAUUGCUCUUGUCCGAUCUUCACCUUAGCAGGUCUGCUGUAUGUUUGUUUCUGGCUAAGGCCAGAUAAGUAGGAUUGUGUGGCAGGUGUCACACAUAUAACAGGUGCAAUGCAGGGAGGCCAACUCAUUCAGGAGGAAAACAGCCAUGAGUCCUAGGUCUCAAGGCAGUCAGGAGCUGGUGUCAGAGGGGAGGCCCUGCAGGGCAGGUUGGUAAACAGAGUCCAUCCCAAAGGCAGACCAAAUUCCGACUCGUCCUGUGCCCUUUGCUUGAAAGACUGACAUCCUUGUGAUUAGGAAGGGAGGGUACAGGAGUCUGGCUGCUGGGUAUUUGAGUCUCAGUUCUUCCACUUGCUUACUGUGUCAUCUUUGGAAAGUUGUAUAUAAAGUCAAUGUGAUGGUAAUAUGAAGGUACUUCCGAAAGUUGGUGGGAAAAGGGAAUUGUCAGUUUAUCUCGCUGCAAAAAUGUGCUUAAAAUUCAGCUAUCAUUUUUUUCUUAAUAUGGGUUUUUCAGGAAAUUCUUGAAGACCUUCUCUCAUAUGUAUGGAUUUCAAAAUUUUUUUUCACCAAAAGAAACUCAUUUUUAAUUCCAUUUUCCAUAAACUAGUUGAAGUACUCUUGUUUUCACAACCACUCUGUAGGACUGCUUUAGAUCUAGUGAAUAUGUGUAUAUGUAUAUGUAUAAAAUUUUUUUUUUGAUGCUGAGAAUUUCUCCUUGUUUCUCAGCAGCCCUCUCUUUCCUUUUUUUUUUUUUUUUUUUUUUUAAGAUGUAUUAAUUUUAUCUGAAAGAGUCACAAAGAGAGAGGCAGGGGCAGAGAGAGAGAGAGGUCUUCUAUUCACUGGUCUACCCCUCAAAUGGCCACAAUCACUGAAGCCAGGAACCAGGUGCCUCCUCCAGGUCUCCCAUGUUGGUUCAGAGCCCAAGCACUUGGGCCAUCUUCCACUGCUUCCCCAAGCACAUUAACGGGGAGCUGGAUCCGAAGCAGAGAAGCUGGGACUCGAACUGGUGCCCAUAUGGGAUGCCAGCACUGUAGACGGCAGCUUUACCCUCUAUGCCACAGCACCAGCCCUGAGUGUUAGGAAUUUUUAAAAAUAAUUUUUCUUUAUUUUUACUAAUUUCAGAGGAAGAGAGGGAGAGAAAUUUUCCAUUCAGUUUGAAGGAUUCCUAUUAAUAUAAAAUUAGUGUACAAGUAGAUUUAAAAAUAUGUAAGGAUGGCAGCGAUU